rnacentral:tRNA from 1 species
GCCGGCGUAGCUCAGUGGCCAGAGCGGCUGUUUUGUAAACAGCGGGUCGCGGGUUCGAACCCUGCCGCCGGCUCCA